rnacentral:rRNA from 1 species
GAUGAACGCUGGCGGCGUGCUUAACACAUGCAAGUCGAGCGAAGCACCUACUUUGGAUUUCUUCGGAAUGACGAGGUUUGUGACUGAGCGGCGGACGGGUGAGUAACGCGUGGGCAACCUGCCUCACACAGGGGGAUAACAGUUAGAAAUGACUGCUAAUACCGCAUAAGACCACGAAACCGCAUGGUUUUGAGGUAAAAACUCCGGUGGUGUGAGAUGGGCCCGCGUCUGAUUAGGUAGUUGGUGCGGUAACGGCGCACCAAGCCGACGAUCAGUAGCCGACCUGAGUGGGUGACCGGCAACAUUGGGACUGAGACACGGCCCAAACUCCUACGGGAGGCAGCAGUGGGGAAUAUUGCACAAUGGGGGAAACCCUGAUGCAGCGACGCCGCGUGAAGGAUGAAGUAUUUCGGUAUGUAAACUUCUAUCAGCAGGGAAGAAAAUGACGGUACCUGACUAAGAAGCCCCGGCUAACUACGUGCCAGCAGCCGCCGUAAAAC